rnacentral:rRNA from 1 species
GACGAACGCUGGCGGCGUGCUUAACACAUGCAAGUCGAACGGAAAGGCCCUGCUUUUGUGGGGUGCUCGAGUGGCGAACGGGUGAGUAACACGUGAGUAACCUGCCCUUGACUUUGGGAUAACUUCAGGAAACUGGGGCUAAUACCGGAUAGGAGCUCCUGCUGCAUGGUGGGGGUUGGAAAGUUUCGGCGGUUGGGGAUGGACUCGCGGCUUAUCAGCUUGUUGGUGGGGUAGUGGCUUACCAAGGCUUUGACGGGUAGCCGGCCUGAGAGGGUGACCGGCCACCUUGGGACUGAGAGACGGCCCAGACUCCUACGGGAGGCAGCAGUGGGGAAUCUUGCACAAUGGGCGGAAGCCUGAUGCAGCAACGCCGCGUGCGGGAUGACGGCCUUCGGGUUGUAAACCGCUUUCGCCUGUGACGAAGCGUGAGUGACGGUAAUGGGUAAAGAAGCACCGGCUAACUACGUG